UUAGCAACCACACGCUGGCGCCCUGGCAACACCACCUGCCGGCUAUUGUGUGGUCGAGGCCCAAGGGGUCUGGUGACUCCUGGACGCAUUCGCGGUGAAGUUCACCCACGACCAGAGGUGCCCCAACCCCGACUCCGGAGGACGCUUCCACGGGAGUCACGGAGAUCGUGUGCAAACAAGGGGUGAAGGGGACGAGCCAGGGCCUCACCAGGCCACCGGCUUCUUGGUCAAGACCUACCCAGGUGUGGCAAGGUCAACUUAAGGAGGCCCGGAACCCAGGGUCACGGGCGCUCCCAGCUCUCGCGCGAACACGUCCUGGCGUGAUCGGGACUCGGAUGCAGGACCUGGGGGCGCACGGCGAGAACGCCUGUGGACUGGGCGCAGGGGGCGCCCGAGGAACGCUCCUGGGGCUCUGACCCCCGCCCGGGCAGGGCCAGCCUGGACGUGGCCAUCCUGGUGGUCGUCUGUGACGAGGUGGAAGCAGCUUAGAUUGUAGCUCAUCGCCACACCAGAAGCCUGUCACGGCGGGAUGCGUCGGCGGAAUGACUGGUACUGAGUGGUGCCAGUCCGCAUUGCCUUCCAGAUCACAGAUGUGCCACUUGUGGACCGGGCAAACUCGUCACCUCCCAGGAAUCCUGGCUUGUCAUUAAAUAUGGUUAAUGUCUAUGAAGAUAUUGAGAGUUGGCCUGGAGUUGGUAAGAAUGAGGCUGUUUGCAGAGAAGAUACGACGUACUCUGUACUUGAACUCUGUGGGCCACCACCACCUGCCUGUGAUCACUGCUGCAAUGAACCGCCCGUCCAAGCAUUGCCCUGCUGGGAAGUUAGGCAACAGUAGGAGGAAUUAGAGGUACAAGAUUUUACCUUCUGCAGACCGUCCACUUCAUUUGGCAGCAGCAACACCAUGCUUAGAUCCUUGCCUUUGUAUGGUAUUUCCAGGAUCUUGGCCUGUGCAUCCUCCAGUGAGGUGAAAUUAAAGAUGUCGAACUGUUUCAUCAUCUGCACGGGUUUGCUUGUAUCCUGAGGUAAUUGAUGAGGCAAACAAACGCCAGUGAGACAUUAUUCAAAAUAAGAUAAUACUGUUAAGAUACCAAACACAUCCUCCUUCUAAGAGAUGUUAGAGAAAGUCUGUGAAUUUGGGAUGAGUUUCUUCUAGUAUCCCCAAGUAAAUAAGUCAAAAAAUAAAAGAAGAGGAAAAGUCA